rnacentral:rRNA from 1 species
AUUAACGCUAGCGGCAGGCAUAAUACAUGCAAGUUGCACGGCAGCACAGGUAGCAAUACUGGGUGGCGAGUGGCGCACGGGUGCGUAACACGUAUGCAACCUACCCUAUACAGGCGAAUAACCUUUAGAAAUGAGGGCUAAUACGCCGUAGUAUUACAGAUGGGCAUCUAUUUGUAAUUAAAGAUUUAUCGGUAUAGGAUGGGCAUGCGUCCCAUUAGUUAGUUGGUAGGGUAACGGCUUACCAAGACGAUGAUGGGUAGGGGAUCUGAGAGGACUUACCCCCACACUGGUACUGAGACACGGACCAGACUCCUACGGGAGGCAGCAGUAAGGAAUAUUGGGCAAUGGCCGCGAGGCUGACCCAGCCAUGCCGCGUGCAGGAAGACGGCCUUAUGGGUUGUAAACUGCUUUUAUACGGGAAUAAUAGAGUGUACGCGUACAUUUAUGCAAGUAUCGUAUGAAUAAGCAUCGGCUAACUCCGUG